CCAUUUCAAGAAUCACAAUGACCACAAUUUGAUUUGCCACGUCUAGACAAAUAACCUAAUCAAUACAUUUAUUUCGGCUGAGACUAAGGCGGUGAUCAUUUUCGGCUGUUACGUUCUAGAUAUAUAAAAUGAGUCUCAUCACUUUCACAAUCAGUUCUUAAAAAAGUACCACCAAGCCAAAAAGGACUUCAAGAAACUCUCAUAGUACAACAAGAACUAAUACGAAGAAAGCAACCAUGAAUUACGAGAAAGCUGUUGCUUUUUUCUUCCUCUUCGCUCUUCUCUUCGUUCCCUUCAUGAUUUUUCCUGCCACAGGUGCUCUAGGAGGAAGAGAAGGCCUGGAUGUAUAUUGUGGGAGUAGAUGCAGAGGAAGGUGUGUAAAGGCAGGAUUUCAAGACAGAUGUCUUAAGUACUGUGGUAUUUGUUGCAGAGAAUGCAAUUGUGUUCCUUCUGGUACCUUUGGCAACAAGCAUCAGUGCCCUUGCUAUCGAGACAAGCUUAGCUCCAAGGGCAAACCCAAGUGCCCUUGAUUCCGUCUCCUUCCCUUUAAUUAUCUACUUUUAUAAACAGUUACAAUAACAUGUAAUGCAUGCAUGCGUAGACUUGUUGAGUAUUUUGACUAUUUUAGUUUACAUGUUUCUUUGUUUCCAUCUCGUGAUAGCAAUAUGGGGAAAGUUCCCAUCAGGCAACAAUGGUUCUGUAUCCAUAUAUAUUGUCGAUUAUAUAUGGUUGCUUCAUCCAGCUGGUACAGUUCCAGGGUACCAUGGAUAAAUUAAUGCAUCAAAUUCAGCA